AACCUCCUGGUACUUACUUACCAGAGGCUGUGUUUUUACACUGUAUAGAAAGAGGAGGCAGGGUAAACCCAACCCAUAAUACACCUCAGCCCAGGCCCUUUGCUUGGUCUGUAUUGUAAAUGGGGGGACAUGG